AACCGCGGUUAUACGAGAGGCCCAAAUUGAUAUAUCACGGCGUAAAGUGUGAUUAGAGACAAACCAAAACUAGAACUAAAUACCCCCUAUGCUGUCAUACGCCAUGGAGGUCACGAAGCCCAACAACGAAAGUGGUUCUACAAACCUUGAACUCACGACAGCUAAGGUA
rnacentral:rRNA from 1 species